AGGAAUGGGGGCGGGUGUGCGCGGGAAUACGGGGGGGGCAGGCGGUGGUGGGAUUUACGGGGCGUAAAGGGCGCGUAGGCGGCAAACGCAAGUCGACUGUGAAAGCUCCGGGCGUAACCCGGAACGGUCAGCCGAGACGGCGGGGCUAGAGUGCAGAAGGGGCAACUGGAAUUCUCGGUGUAGCGGUGAAAUGCGUAGAUAUCGAGAGGAACACCUGCGGCGAAGGCGGGUUGCUGGGCUGACACUGACGCUGAUGUGCGAAAGCUAGGGGAGCGAACGGGAUUAGAUACCCCAGUAGUC
rnacentral:rRNA from 1 species